rnacentral:rRNA from 1 species
UACGUAGGGUGCAAGCGUUGUCCGGAAUUAUUGGGCGUAAAGAGCUCGUAGGCGGUUUGUCGCGUCUGCUGUGAAAAUCCAGGGCUUAACCCUGGACCUGCAGUGGGUACGGGCAGACUAGAGUGCGGUAGGGGAGACUGGAAUUCCUGGUGUAGCGGUGAAAUGCGCAGAUAUCAGGAGGAACACCGAUGGCGAAGGCAGGUCUCUGGGCCGAUACUGACGCUGGAGG